ensembl:lncRNA
CCUUUAAGUUUCCAGUUGAGUUUUCUCAGUGGGAGGAACUGGCAGAAAACCCGAGGCGAGAGGCGAGAGAGAAAGUUAUUUCUUUUCAGCUUCCUCCAGCUUUCAGCACUGAAGUUCUGGCAGCGUGCGCAUCCCUCUGUGGCUACCGCUCUUUCCCGGUGAUCCCACUUCCUAAUCUUUCCCGGUGAUCCCACUUCCUAAGCUUCGAGACUGUGAACUAGAGAUAUGGGCAGCCAGAAAGUCAUGGAGAAGCCAGUCCAAAAGAAUGGAGCCAAUAGGAAAGGCAAAGCAUAACCAAGUAUGGUAAUGACCACCUUGCAGGUGGUUGUGAGGACAAAACAGGUGGCUCAGCGGUAAAGAAUCCACCUGCAAUUCAGGAGUUGUGGGUUCGAUCCCUGGGUCAGGAAGAUCCCCUGGAGAAGGAAAUGGCAACCCACUCCAGUAUUCUUACCUGGACAAUCCCAUGGGCAGAAGAGCUUCGAGGGCUAUAAUCCAUGGGGUGGCAAAAGAGUCGGACACGACUUAGUGACUAAACAACAACAACUCUUUGGCAAAGGGAACUAUGCUCAGUAUCUUAU